rnacentral:rRNA from 1 species
ACGGGGUGCAGCAGGCGCGAAACCUUUACACUGCACGACAGUGCGAUAAGGGAAUCCCAAGUGCGUAGGCAUAGAGCCUACGCUUUUGUCCACCGUAGGGAGGUGGACGAAUAAGGGCUGGGCAAGACCGGUGCCAGCCGCCGCGGUAAUACCGGCAGCCCGAGUGAUGGCCGAUCUUAUUGGGCCUAAAGCGUCCGUAGCUGGCCGCGCAAGUCUAUCGGAAAAUCCACCCGCUCAACGGGUGGGCGUCCGGUAGAAACUGCGUGGCUUGGGACCGGAAGGCGCGACGGGUACGUCCGGGGUAGGAGUGAAAUCCUGUAAUCCUGGACGGACCGCCGAUGGCGAAAGCACGUCGCGAAGACGGAUCCGACAGUGAGGGACGAAAGCUAGGGUCUCGAACCGGAUUAGAUACCCGGGUAGUCCUAGCCGUAAACAAUGCCUGCUAGGUGUGGCUCCCACUACGAGUGGGUGCUGUGCCGUAGGGAAGCCGCUAAGCAGGCCGCCUGGGAAGUACGUCCGCAAGGAUGAAACUUAAAGGAAUGGCGGGGGAGCAC